rnacentral:rRNA from 1 species
UAGGACCUACGGGGGGCAGCAGUGGGGAAUAUUGCACAAUGGGGGGAACCCUGAUGCAGCGACGCCGCGUGAGUGAAGAAGUAUCUCGGUACGUAAAGCUCUAUCAGCAGGGAAGAAAAUGACGGUACCUGACUAAGAAGCCCCGGCUAACUACGUGCCAGCAGCCGCGGUAAUACGUAGGGGGCAAGCGUUAUCCGGAUUUACUGGGUGUAAAGGGAGCGUAGACGGCGAUGCAAGUCUGAAGUGAAAGGCGGGGGCCCAACCCCCGGACUGCUUUGGAAACUGUAUGGCUGGAGUGCAGGAGG